GAUGAACGCUGGCGGCGUGCCUAAUACAUGCAAGUCGAGCGAACAGAUGAGGAGCUUGCUCCUCUGACGUUAGCGGCGGACGGGUGAGUAACACGUGGAUAACCUACCUAUAAGACUGGGAUAACUUCGGGAAACCGGAGCUAAUACCGGAUAAUAUAUUGAACCGCAUGGUUCAAUAGUGAAAGACGGUUUUGCUGUCACUUAUAGAUGGAUCCGCGCCGCAUUAGCUAGUUGGUAAGGUAACGGCUUACCAAGGCAACGAUGCGUAGCCGACCUGAGAGGGUGAUCGGCCACACUGGAACUGGGACACGGUCCAGACUCCUACGGGAGGCAGCAGUAGGGAAUCUUCCGCAAUGGGCGAAAGCCUGACGGAGCAAGGCCGCGUGAGUGAUGAAGAUCUUCGGAUCGUAAAACUCUGUUAUUAGGGAAGAACAAAUGUGUAAGUAACUAUGCACGUCUUGACGGUACCUAAUCAGAAAGCCACGGCUAACUACGUG
rnacentral:rRNA from 1 species